GGCCGCGGGAAUUUCGAUUUAGAAGUUUGAUUUCUGGCUCAGAUUGAACGCUGGCGGCAGGCCUAACACAUGCAAGUCGAGCGGAAACGAUCCUAGCUUGCUAGGAGGCGUCGAGCGGCGGACGGGUGAGUAAUGCAUAGGAAUCUGCCCGGUAGUGGGGGAUAACCUGGGGAAACCCAGGCUAAUACCGCAUACGCCCUACGGGGGAAAGCAGGGGAUCUUCAGACCUUGCGCUAUCGGAUGAGCCUAUGUCGGAUUAGCUAGUUGGUGAGGUAACGGCUCACCAAGGCUGCGAUCCGUAGCUGGUCUGAGAGGAUGAUCAGCCACAUCGGGACUGAGACACGGCCCGAACUCCUACGGGAGGCAGCAGUGGGGAAUAUUGGACAAUGGGCGAAAGCCUGAUCCAGCCAUGCCGCGUGUGUGAAGAAGGCCUUCGGGUUGUAAAGCACUUUCAGUGAGGAAGAAAGCCUUGAGGUUAAUACCCUCGAGGGAGGACAUCACUCACAGAAGAAGCACCGGCUAACUCCGUGCCAGCAGCCGCGGUAAUACGGAGGGUGCGAGCGUUAAUCGGAAUUACUGGGCGUAAAGCGCGCGUAGGCGGCUUGAUAAGCCGGUUGUGAAAGCCCCGGGCUCAACCUGGGAACGGCAUCCGGAACUGUCAGGCUAGAGUGCAGGAGAGGAAGGUAGAAUUCCCGGUGUAGCGGUGAAAUGCGUAGAGAUCGGGAGGAAUACCAGUGGCGAAGGCGGCCUUCUGGACUGACACUGACGCUGAGGUGCGAAAGCGUGGGUAGCAAACAGGAUUAGAUACCCUGGUAGUCCACGCCGUAAACGAUGUCGACUAGCCGUUGGGCUCCUUGAGAGCUUUGUGGCGCAGUUAACGCGAUAAGUCGACCGCCUGGGGAGUACGGCCGCAAGGUUAAAACUCAAAUGAAUUGACGGGGGCCC
rnacentral:rRNA from 1 species